rnacentral:lncRNA from 1 species
GAGAUACCAGAGGAGUUCUACGUCACUAUGGUGCGCUCUCGAAACCCCAUAGCCAUUUAUUCAUCCAAGGGAUUGGGUGAGGCUGGGAUGUUCCUGGGGUCCUCCGUUCUGUUUGCCAUAUAUGAUGCAGUGACCACUGCCCGCAAGGAGAGAGGGCUGAGCGACAUCUUCCCCUUGAAUAGCCCAGCAACACCUGAAGUGAUUCGCAUGGCUUGUAAGGAUCAGUUUACUGACAUGAUUCCCAGAGACGACCCUUCAACAUUCACACCUUGGUCCAUCCAUGUGUCUUAACCUCGUGUCUUUAAGAAAAAGGAAGACCAUACAGCUGAUUCAAAGUAGCCCAAAAUCAGAACAGUAUAUAGAUUGACUAGAAUUUAUCAAACAUGAUUGUACUGUUUUAGUUAUUCUCUGUGAUUAGCUUAUUGUGUGAUUACAUGUUAAGAUACAUAUUUUUACCAACUUGUGUGACAAAACUUAGAAUUGGAAAUUCUGAUUUAGUUUUCAUUAUCCUGAAAAUCUGUAUGAUGGUAAGGUUUUUAAACCUGGCUAACCUGGAGUAGCUCAGGAGAGCCUCCUUGUGUUUUGUUUCAAGUAGCUAUGAAACCCAAGAGAACUGUCUAUCCUAAAACUCUAGUUUGGGAGUCUCCCCAAAACAGCACUCCUGGAAAACCCACUUUACAGUGCCUGCUACUUCCUGUGGUACAGGAGCAAGCAGAAGCACUCAGGGAAUCUGGAUGUAGAGCUGGAGAGAGGUUCGAAUACAGCUGCCUCCAAGGUGUGUGGGGAAGCAUGGCUCCCAGGGUGGUAGCACUGGAACUGUAAGAGGUGGAGCCUAUUGAGAGGUCAUUGGUAAGGGAGUCAGUGGUGAUAGGAAGGAAAUGAAUUAGUUCCCUGAGCCUGACCCCUCCUCAUCUCUCCCUUCCUCUCUGCCAGUGUGAACCAUUGCAUUUCUAGUGUGUGAUGCUGUCUACUGUUGACAGAAAGGAGGUCCUCACCAGAUGGGCAGACUUAUGACCAGGCUUCUAAAAUAAACCUCUUUUCUUCACAAAGU